rnacentral:misc_RNA from 1 species
UUUCCGUAGGUGAACCUGCGGAAGGAUCAUUACAGUAGUCACCCAGGUUGCCGCAAGGCCUCCUGGGUAACCUACCACCCAUUGUUUAUUACACUUUGUUGCUUUGGCAAGCCUGCCCUCGGGCUGCUGGCUCCGGCCGGCGAGCGCUUGCCAGAGGACCUAAACUCUGUUUGUCUAUACUGUCUGAGUACUAUAUAAUAGUUAAAACUUUCAACAACGGAUCUCUUGGUUCUG